UCUAUCUUUAUGUCUACUGUCUUGCAAGGC
rnacentral:piRNA from 1 species